rnacentral:rRNA from 1 species
AUUGAACGCUAGCGGCAUGCUUUACACAUGCAAGUCGAACGGCAGCGCGGACUUCUGCAUCUCGGGGCGUGUGGCGCGCGUGAGUAAUGUAUCGGAACGUGCGCAGUAGCGGGGGGUAAAUACGCGAGAGCGUAGGUAUUAUAGCGUAUGCGCUCCGGGGAAAAGAGGGGGAUAGCAACAGCUUUCACUCUUGAGGCUGCCGAUAUCGGAUUAGAUCGUUGGGGGGGUAAAGGCCCACCAAGGCGACGAUCUGUAGCUGGUUUCAGAGGACGACCAGCCACACUGGGACUGAGACACGGCCCAGACUCCUACGGGAGGCAGCAGUGGGGAAUUUUGGACAAUGGGGGCAAGCCUGAUCCAGCAAUCCCGCGUGUGUGAUGAAGGCCUUCGGGUUGUAAAGCACUUUUGUCAGGAAAGAAACCCCUGGCGCUAAUACGCCGGGGAACUGACGGUACCGGCAGAAUAAGCACCGGCUAACUACGUG